CUACGGGUGGCACCAGUGGGGAAUAUUGGACAAUGGGCGAAAGCCUGAUCCAGCCAUGCCGCGUGAGUGAUGAAGGCCUUAGGGUUGUAAAACUCUUUCAGUAGGGAAGAUAAUGACGGUACCUACAGAAGAAGCCCCGGCUAACUUCGUGCCAGCAGCCGCGGUAAUACGAAGGGGGCUAGCGUUGUUCGGAAUCACUGGGCGUAAAGCGCGCGUAGGCGGCUUGCCAAGUCAGGGGUGAAAUCCCGGGGCUCAACCCCGGAACUGCCUUUGAAACUGGCAAGCUAGAGUCCGGUAGAGGAUGGUAGAAUUCCUAGUGUAGAGGUGAAAUUCGUAGAUAUUAGGAGGAAUACCGGUGGCGAAGGCGGCCAUCUGGACCGGCACUGACGCUGAGGUGCGAAAGCGUGGGGAGCAAACAGGAUUAGAUACCCCGGUAGUC
rnacentral:rRNA from 1 species